CUGAAUACCGAGGCUCGACACCAACGUUUGCGAACUCGCAAAUCUCGCUCACGCACUUUUGUAGUGUAAAUCGUUUGCCUGUGUUAAUUGAAUUAGUCCAAUUUAUGAAUCGAAUGUUGACACACUGGUUCACAAAUGAACAUGAUGUCUGGAAAUAAAACUAUACAAUUGGUACAAUUGAAAGAAACAAACGUUUCAUCAAUAGAGGAUAGUAGAUUCCGAAUUUACACGAAGUGGCCUGAAGUUAAAUUGGCAAUGCAUAAUGUUGCAUGAGAAACAUGUGGGAACGAUAAAACAAUAGAAACCACUUGUUUAACAAUUGCUUAGCAGAAGACAGACAUUCGUACACGUGAGUCUUUUGUUAACCUAAGCUAACUUAUAAUCUAACGCAUUAUAAAUUAUAAUUGAAGGUCCCAAUGCGGAAGCGACUCGUUCAACGAAAUAUUCAGAUAAGAAAGAUUGAAAAUAUAAUUAGGUGCUUAGACGCAAUAUACACGCGAAAUCGCGAGAUCCGUAUCGACCGAAGGAUCCACGAAGGCUGAAUCUUCACCCCUCGGAGAUCUGUGACGUUUUCUUAUGCGUGUCGAAGAAACUGGAGAAUGGUGAACAU